ensembl:lncRNA
AUCUGUUGUGUGAACCUGGAGCUGUGUCAACGUGUGGUCUAAGCUGUGCUAUUUGGCCGUUUUAGCUUUUCUAUGACAGCUUGGUGUGGAUUGCAUAGCCUUCUGUUGGAGAGACAGUGAAGGUGCUGCGUGGAAGAUGUAAACUUCUGACCACAACUGUAAAUGAUCCACAUAUGUUAGAAAUGAAUAAAAGAGAAAAGAUCUCCAUCUUCACCUACACCAGCAUCUAGACUCUGGUGGGUCCUGUUCUUAAUCCAGUCACUGCUGGGAUUCUGUUCUGCCGUGAUAAGUCACUGGAGUCUAAACACCAAAUACAAUGAUUAAUUCUUUAUCUCAAUAAGUCAUGUUUGAGUAAUUUCAAAUGCUCUUUCCUUACUGGAAUAUAGUGUUCGGGGAACUAACAUUAAUGAACCUAACAAUAUCCAACCAGCUGUAUAUGUUACAGAGACGGAGUGCAUACCCUCACAUAUGAACAAAAUUCAUGGCUCACCAUUGACUUGUGUUGUAUGAGUGGGCAUAAUUGUCUGCUUGAAAAACUGAUCGAUCCAUCCUGAUCCCCGGCAACCUCCUCCAACUCAUCCAGGACAGACACCCAGAUGUUCAUGUGCCUGAAGUGCCCAGGAGACAUCCUGAUCAGUUGCCUGAAGCAGAUUAACUUGCACACAUAAUUCCCCCUGGAAUGAUCAAGCGCUCCACCCCACUCCAACACAGAAGUCAGACAUCUCCAGAGGAAGUCUAUGGCUGCUGGCUGCAUCCACAAUUCCAUUCCUUUGGUGCCUACCCAAAACUCAUGUCGGGAAUCUUCCUCACCUGUUGUCUGCAUCAAUAUACCACUAGACAAAUCCAUGCACCCAUCUCUUGCUCUUCUAUCCAAAUUUUAGUUUUAGGCUACUAGAUAGCCCUGUGACAGACUGGUGAUCUGUCCAGGCUGUACUUCUUGCCCCAUUGCACCUGGGAUAGGCCCCAACCACAUCCCAUGACCCUGAAAUGGAUAAGUGGAAGAGAAUGGAUGGAUACUACAUUUCUCUAAGUUAAACUAAAGCGUUUUAAUGUAGCUUUUGAAAUUUUAUGAGUAGUCAAAUAAUUCUUUCACACU